rnacentral:rRNA from 1 species
CUUUAGUUAAUACCUAAAGUGAGUGGACGUUACUCGCAGAAUAAGCACCGGCUAACUCUGUGCCAGCAGCCGCGGUAAUACAGAGGGUGCGAGCGUUAAUCGGAUUUACUGGGCGUAAAGCGUGCGUAGGCGGCUUUUUAAGUCGGAUGUGAAAUCCCUGAGCUUAACUUAGGAAUUGCAUUCGAUACUGGAAAGCUAGAGUAUGGGAGAGGAUGGUAGAAUUCCAGGUGUAGCGGUGAAAUGCGUAGAGAUCUGGAGGAAUACCGAUGGCGAAGGCAGCCAUCUGGCCUAAUACUGACGCUGAGGUACGAAAGCAUGGGGAGCAAACAGGAUUAGAUACCCUGGUAGUCCAUGCCGUAAACGAUGUCUACUAGCCGUUGGGGCCUUUGAGGCUUUAGUGGCGCAGCUAACGCGAUAAGUAGACCGCCUGGGGAGUACGGUCGCAAGACUAAAACUCAAAUGAAUUGACGGGGGCCCGCACAAGCGGUGGAGCAUGUGGUUUAAUUCGAUGCAACGCGAAGAACCUUACCUGGCCUUGACAUACUAAGAACUUUCCAGAGAUGGAUUGGUGCCUUCGGGAACUUAGAUACAGGUGCUGCAUGGCUGUCGUCAGCUCGUGUCGUGAGAUGUUGGGUUAAGUCCCGCAACGAGCGCAACCCUUUUCCUUAUUUGCCAGCGGGUUAUGCCGGGAACUUUAAGGAUACUGCCAGUGACAAACUGGAGGAAGGCGGGGACGACGUCAAGUCAUCAUGGCCCUUACGGCCAGGGCUACACACGUGCUACAAUGGUCGGUACAAAGGGUUGCUACCUCGCGAGAGGAUGCUAAUCUCAAAAAGCCGAUCGUAGUCCGGAUCGCAGUCUGCAACUCGACUGCGUGAAGUCGGAAUCGCUAGUAAUCGCGGAUCAGAAUGCCGCGGUGAAUACGUUCCCGGGCCUUGUACACACCGCCCGUCACACCAUGGGAGUUUGUUGCACCAGAAGUAGGUAGUCUAACCGCAAGGAGGACGCUACCCACGGGGGCCCCGAAGG